rnacentral:lncRNA from 1 species
CCUUAUUUUCUUGAUUUUUUCCGGUCCGCUGAUUUUCUUUUCUUUUUUUUAAAAAAAAAGAUGAUUUAGGAUUUCUUUUUUGUUAUGCUUAUUAAUUUUUUAAAAUUUUAUAUUACUUAAUUGGCCAACGCAAGGAAGCCUAACUUGCCUCGGCGGGUAACUGGCUUUUGCCGGCGGCGGGGAAUGGGCUUCACGCGGGAAUACGUGGAGGGGGAUUUUUGGGUGGAGGUGGGAAGGCUUCGCGCAACCGUCGGGAUCGGACGCGUAAAACCACUCCAUCCUCUUCCUCUAUUCUCAAGAGGAGAAUUCGGAUCCUUGACCGGGUUAUCCACCCCCAACGCCCAUCGUGCCAGGCGUCCCUGUAGCUUCCUCUCUCACUCUCCCAAAUAGACAUCAUUAACACAUAUUUCUUACACAAGAGCGGCAAAGGAGAGCUCUAAUCUCGGAAUCACGCUGCUGCAUGAGGUCUAUCAAACCAGCACAGCACACGUCUGGGGUUCCGCCGAUGGUGCUCUUGUAACAUUUUUUAGAUCUCAGCCCUUCAUUUUGAAUUUUGAAAGUGGAGAACGGUAAUCUUGACGCUAUCCGGUCACCUCUUACGCUACUCGGUUUAUGACCUUGGGCAGCAAUUAAAGUGGCGUAGCCGAAGAUGGUGCAGUUACAACUUGGGUGUGUCUGGUGGGUUCCGGGUUAAACAUGGGAUUCAAUACAUGGUGGGCGACGGUGGAGGGGAGCGGCACAAGAUAUCACGGGGGAAGAAGAAAAUGAGCG